rnacentral:lncRNA from 1 species
UUAGCUUAUCAUUGAUAUGACUGAUUUUUAACAGAACUUCCUUUUCAAGGAUUUGUUAAUUAGGUUUUCAGUGCCUUUGAUAAAAAUAGUUAUUGAAGUACUUCAAAGAAGAUGCUCUAGGAGCGAUUGCCAAGGAAAACUGAAAUGGACUUUGAUCCAGACUGGAGUGAGAGUGGUGAGGAUGCGAUUUAACGGGUGCUUGUCCUCAGUGUGGUUUUGAAAUGGGAGGGCAGAGAAAAGAGAGAAAUAGAAAAAAGCCAGAAAGCACAAGAGUGACUUUGAUCUUCAGUCUAAAAAGGAAAACAGGGAUUCGUUCAAUUGCCAGUGAAAGCUGGGAGGGUUAGAGAUGCCAAAGGGAUGGUUUACUCUGAUGAGAAAAGCAAUUGCACAACAACAAGAAGAAAGGCAGAGAGGCUGUUAAAUUCUCAUCCUUUUGGUGCAGAACUGGAUGAGGCAAGACCAGUGGGAGGUUGCCACCACUGGGCAGUGAUGUCAGAUUCUAUCUGUAACCCUUGAGCCAUCUAAGCAGGUAUCGAUCGAAUACUUCUAGGAAGGGUAAGAAUGCUUUAACUUAGGCCUCAGUAUUGACAAGCUGUAUUUAGUUUCAGCAUCUUUGUUGGUCAUUGUUUUCCCUUGAAAAACAAUUUUUUGCCUUGUUAUGUGGGAACAACUGUGUAGCUGAAACUCUCCCUUUCUGUCACCUGGCUUGCAGGCCCUUUGACAUUGGAAAGCCAAUCAAGGUUGUUUUUUUUUUGUUUUUUUUUUUUUGCUACUUUAACUGGGGUUCGAGACCUUCGGGCCACCUGACCCCAUCCCUUUGGCCUUGUCAACAUACUUUUGUGUAUGAGUGUUUUUAUGGGGAUGGUUCCAUAGUUUUCCUCCGAGGCCUCUCAUCUGCAAAUGGGGCUGUGAAGCAUCGCCCCAGAGGGCAUGCUUGGCCAGAUCACUAUAGUGAUGGCACAGCCAGAACUUCAUGUCUCAGCUUGAAAACAUCAGGGCAGGAAGUCCUGCGUCAGAUGGAAUUAGGUAUGCAUUCACGUGGUGGGCGUCUUUUCAGCUCUUGUAGAGGCAGCCUUGAUUCUCUUCCUGACAUAAUGAAGUAUUGGCCAAGAAAAAUUUUUUUUUUCAAUUUAUUAAAAGAAAAACCCCAGAUCAUGUGUGUUCCUGAUCAUAUGGCUAUGAUUAUAGAAAUUAUAUUUUUGUGUUUAAUAAAAGAUCAUCCCAGCUUAGAUGAUGAGCCAAGCGUAUGCACUGUCCAUGCUAUACAUUGGAGAAGACAAAACUGUAAAAUACAAUCUUUUUGAGAAGAUGAGGGCUCUACAAGUGGAGCAUGGAGCCUAAGGGAGAGUGUUGGGAGAAGAGUGGUUUAGGCUGGGUGGGAGGUUUUAGCUCUGGAUGGAUGGGUGUUGGUUGAGAGGCUGAAAGUGGAGGAAAUGGCAUUUUAGUUAAGCGGACAAUCUGUAAGCUCUUGCUCAGGGGAGAUAAUUUAAAAAGAAAAUGGUCUGAGCUUGCUUUACAUGCAGUAUUCCUCCUAGAGGAGCAGAUGCAAGUGAAGUUGUGAAUACAUCCUAAGUGCAGUGACUUUUGGGGAAAACCUGGGGCCAGGGGUCGUGUGUGUUGUAGAAAAGAAAAGAUCAUGAGGACAGUUGAUUCUGACUCAGGCUCUGUAUUCACGGUAUAGAUGGAGGCUCUCCUUUUCAGAAGAGCCUUUUAAAUAUUCAAAAGGAAAAGUGCCUGGACCUCUAUGUAGAGUUGUUAAAGGAAAAACAAAAAAACCAUAUGGGAUGAACUCCGAAUAAGUUCAGAGCCGUAGUGCUGUACCUGGCACCAUUUCGAGGUGGUGGAUUCCAGGCAUCUGUUGUAAGAAACCCAAAAAGGCCAUCAAGUGUUCAGUAGAAGCCGAGGAUUUCAGGUAGCAAGUUGUCUUUCUUUUUCCCUUUCUUUCUUUCUUUUCUGAUUUGUGGGUUUUUUGGGGNUUUCUUUCUUUCUUUCUUUCUUUCUUUUCUUUCUUUCUUUCUUUUCUUUCUUUCUUUCUUUCUUUUCUGAUUUGUGGGUUUUUUUGUUUUGUUUUGUUUUGUUUUUUUUUUCCAUUAUAGCUGGUUUACAGUGUUGUAUCAAUUUUCCACUGUAUAGCAAGGGAGUUCCCAUUGUGGCUCAGUGGUUAACAAAUCCGACUAGGAACCAUGAGGUCGUGGGUUCGGUCCCUGCCCUUGCUCAGUGGGUUAAUGAUCCGGUGUUGCCAUGAGCUGUGGUGUAGGUCGCAGACGUGGCUCGGAUCCCGCGUUGCUGUGGCUCUGGUGUAGUCCGGUGGCUACAGCUCCGAUUCGACCCCUAGCCUGGGAACCUCCGUAUGCCACGGGAGCGACCCAAGAAAUGGCAAAAAGACAAAAAAAAAAAAAAAGCAAAUCUGACUAGGAACCAUGAGGUUGUGGGUUUGAUCCCUGGCCUUGCUUAGUGAGUUAAGGAUGCCGUGAACUGUGGUGUAGUCUGCAGACUUGGCUUGGAUCCACCGUUGCUGUGGUGUGGGCUGGCAGCUGCAGCUCUGAUUAGACUCCUAGCCUGGGAACCUCCAUAUGCUGCGGGUCCAGCCCUAGAAAAAGAC